rnacentral:rRNA from 1 species
UACGUAGGCAGCGAGCGUUGUUCGGAGUUACUGGGCGUAAAGAGUGCGUAGGCGGUGCUCUAAGUUUGGUGUGAAAUCUCCCGGCUCAACUGGGAGGGUGCGCCGAAAACUGGAGUGCUCGAGUAUGGGAGAGGUAAGCGGAAUUCCUGGUGUAGCGGUGAAAUGCGUAGAUAUCAGGAGGAACACCUGCGGUGUAGACGGCUUACUGGACCAUGACUGACGCUGAGGCACGAAGGCCAGGGGAGCAAACGGG